AUAAGUAAUGUGAAUUGCAGAUUUCAGUGAAUCAUCGAAUCUUUGAACGCACCUUGCACCCUGUGGUAUUCUACAGGGUAUGCCCGUUUGAGUAUCAUUAUAAUUAUCAACUACUAAAACCUUUGUGUUAUUGGUGGCUUGGUCUUGAGGGUUAUUGCA
rnacentral:rRNA from 1 species